rnacentral:misc_RNA from 1 species
GUGAAUCAUCGAAUCUUUGAACGCAAAUUGCGCCUUUUUCGGAAGGCAUGCCUGUUUGAGGGCACCGUUUAACAAAUAAUGUGCAGCGUUUUUUGUUGCACACGUUGAUGAGCUUUCCAAGAAUUUUAAAUUUUUGGUGGCGCAUAAUGAACAGCGUGAAAGUUUUUUUCAGUUCGAGUGUAGUAAAAUCUUUGCUUGGGUUGUGAAAAAAAAUAUCCGGGAAUUGGUUUGGGAAUUUCUUUUUAUUCCUUGCCCAAUUG